AUUGAUUUGGAUCGUUUACUGCGUUUGAUUUCGACCAUCAGAUCGCGUUUAAAGAGGAAAUGAAUCUAGAUCAUUCAUUAUAAUUUGAUCUCGACCGUCCGAUCGCGUUUAAAGAGGGAAUGAAUCUAAACUAUUUAUCGUGUUUAAGUGUGACUGUCCGAUCGCGCCUGAGGAGGGAACGGAUCCAAACCGUUGACGCGCGUAGGAACGCUUUCGGGUCGUCCGAU
rnacentral:lncRNA from 1 species